GUUUAAUUGACUCACAGUUCCACAGGUUGUACAAGAGGUGUGACUGGGGAGGCCUCAGGAAGCUUACAAUCAUGGUGGAAGGAUGAAGGGGAAGCAAGCACGUCUUCACAUGGCAGUAGGCGGGAGAGUGAGUGAAGGGAGAAGUGCUACACACUUUCAAACAACCAGAUCUCAUGAAAACUCACUAUCACAAGAACAGCAAAAGGGAAAUCCACCCAUGAUCUAAUCAUCUCCCACCAGCUCCCUCUCGCAACAUUGGGAAUUACAGUUCAACAUGCGAUUUGGUGGGGACACAGAGCCAAACCAUAUCACACCCCAUUCAAAGCUAUGAGAUUAUAAAAUGGUCCUUCUCCUGUCACUCAGCUGACUGUAAAUUCAUGCUGGCACAUCCACACCACGGCAGACAGAAGACACUGCUUGGGAGUUCUGUUCUGUCAUCAACGGAGCUGUGAUGACCGUGGAUGUCACUGGUAGUGGCCAACAUUUCUGCAGCUCCUUCUCAGUUACAUCCUCAACACAAACUCCUCACCAGGUGGCAGAAGUGGAAGAAGCUGAGAUGUGGCUGUGAGUCCUGACUUCACUGCUGUCCAGCGGAAAGAGUCUGAGCAGUCUAAACCCGAGGUUUCGCCAGUGUGAAAUGGGGCUAAUUAUAUAGACAUAUGGGUUUUACAAAGUUUUGAC
rnacentral:lncRNA from 1 species